AGUAAAAGUCGUAACAAGGUUUCCGUAGGUGAACCUGCGGAAGGAUCAUUACAGAGUUCAUGCCCUCACGGGUAGAUCUCCCACCCUUGAAUAUUAUACCUUAGUUGCUUUGGCAGGCCGGGGCAACCCCCGGGGCUUCGGCCUUGGUGUGCCUGCCAGAGGAAACAAACUCUGUUUUUAGUGAUGUCUGAGUACUAUAUAAUAGUUAAAACUUUCAACAACGGAUCUCUUGGUUCUGGCAUCGAUGAAGAACGCAGCGAAAUGCGAUAAGUAAUGUGAAUUGCAGAAUUCAGUGAAUCAUCGAAUCUUUGAACGCACAUUGCGCCCCGUGGUAUUCCGCGGGGCAUGCCUGUUCGAGCGUCAUUUCAACCCAUCAAGCUUCGGCUUGGUCUUGGGGCCUGCGAUUCCGCAGCCUCUAAACCCAGUGACGGUGCCUCCGAGCUCUGAGCGUAGUAAUUCUUCUCGCUAUAGGGUCUCGGUGGUGUCUUGCCAGUAACCCCCAAUUUUUUACAGGUUGACCUCGGAUCAGGUAGGGAUACCCGCUGAACUUAAGCAUAUCAAUAAGCGGAGGAAAAGAAACCAACAGGGAUUGCCCCAGUACG
rnacentral:rRNA from 1 species